CUGCUCGUGCAUGCAUCCACGAGAGAGAAGAGAGAGAGAGAGAGAGAGAAGCUUCUUCCUCGAAAAUCUUGACGAAUCUUAAAAAACUGUCGAGCGAUUCGGCAGUUGUGGUGGCCGCGCGAGGGGGUGCUAAAAAAACAAGUGUUUUUUAACCGCGGAACUAAUAAGGGUAGGAGGAAGUGGGUGGAAGAGGAAAAAUCGCGGGGAACAGAGGCGAGAGGGGACAAGGUGGGAGAACAGUACCCUUUAUAGUAAUAUCUAAACUUAAUUGUAACUAUUAACGAUACGUACGACUGUGGUAGCUAUGCUAGUACCUGCUAUUGUUAAAGAGAGAAAGAGGGAGAGAGAUUGGAGAGAGAGAAAGAGAGAAAGGUAGAGCGAAAGAAUCGAUUGAAUUGAGUGGGAGAGAAGGGAGGAGUAAGGACUUUCGAGGGUUGGUACGUGGCGGAAGACGUCCAUCGGUGUAAGGUGACCCAGUUCCCGGGCCACUUUCUCGAUAUAUUCGGAUCGUUGAUCCUCGCUAGAUAGAAAAAAAGAAAAAAAGAAAGAAAGAAAAAAAAGGAACAAUUUUCGAUCGAGCCUCGAGAAAGAGAGAGCUCUCCUCGCGCCUGGAUUAUUUUUCUAAUCUAAUCUUUGUAAUCAUCGAACGAAUCGAAUGUCCGCGACGAAACGAAAUCCUCGAUUCGUCCUCGAACAAGAUCCAACACGACGAUCCUCGUCGCGCUUUGGCCGUUCAUUUUAGAUGUCUCGAGGUCCUUUUUUUUUUUUUUCUUUCAACGAUCCGAUCAGAAAUGGGAAUGGCGAGAGAGGGACAGUAAGAAGGGAAGUUGGAGCAAGUGUUGCAAUGAGUUGCGAAUCAAAUGUGGAUCUCGGCUUGAGACGAGAGGCUCAGCUCAGCGAAGAAUCAAACACACGUACACGAUGUAUACUCUUCUAGCAAAAACUAAAAAAAAAAAAAAGGGAAAAAAGAAAAG